GGACUACAGGUGCAUGCCACCAUGCCCAGCUAAUUUUUGUGUUUUUAGUAGAGACAGGGUUUCACCAUGUUGGCCAAGAUGGUCUCGAUCUCUUGACCUCGUGAUCUGCCUGCCUCAGCCUCCCAAAAUGCUGGGAUUACAGGCGUAAGCCACUGCGCCCAGCCCAUGUCUAGUUUUAAAUCAUUGGAUUUUAUAGAUCUGCCAUCUUUUAAGUGGAGCACACUCUAAAAUUCUGAUUGACCAUGUCCUCUGUCCUGUCUGAUGCCACUGUUUCUAGGGGCUCACACUUCUCAUACAAAGUAAGGCACCUUCUUCCCUAACCCCUAGUGUGGCAUUUGCACCAUGUGAAAUGCUCAGGACUAUGUCAUAGAUGAAGCCCCACUGCUUUUGAUUAAUUUAAAGUCACAAAAGUUUUUUUUUUUUUAAUAGGAAAAUCAAUUUUCAAAUACUCAGAUCCUUGAAUAAGAAGAGUGUUGGGAAGUAAUGAAAAAUAUCAAGUCUCAUGAGUCUCCAGAUCAUAGCAACUGCAACCAUUUUUCUGUGGAAAGGGCUCUGCGAAGUUCCUAAGCAUGGUCUUCUUUAAGCCUCGACAUGACCCUGUGAUACAGGUAGUGGAUUCUGUUACAUCCGUUGCAAAGAUGAGAAGCUGAGAAUUAGAGAGAUUACAGAGGUCACAGAGAGCAAGUGGAGGGGAGCAGGACUCUUUCUGCUGCAUCUUUUGGCCCAUCGCAUCCUGCGCUGUCCAGAACGCCUGUCCCCCUCCUCUCCUUGCCUCCAUAUUUUUGACUUGUAGUAAACAUGCUGAAGCCGUCCGCCCCUUACAAUGGAAAGGAAUUCUCCGGGGUGGGCUUGGAAAAGUGGAGUCAUCCUCCUUGGAAGGUAGACACCUGAGAGGCGCGGUGUCCCUGGGCUUGGCGCUGCGCACAGCACUCUCCUCCCUCUAGGCCUCUGAACAGCAGCACCUGCGAGAAUCCAGAGAAGGACGAAGCCAGGAGGCAGGGAUCUUGUUUUCAGAAGGAAUGUGAACCAAAAUAUGUUCAGAACAAGAGAAUGGCUGGCGCGCAGUCCUGGCACCAGGGAUCUUCUUGGCGGUGGCUGCAGGCUUUCUGGGGCUGCCUGGCGCGUUCCGCUGUCACGCGUGAGAAGUUGUCAUUUGGAAGCAUUGAGGGGAACCUGG
rnacentral:lncRNA from 1 species